GUGUGCAAAACGGUCCGUUACAAUUGGUGGCAAGCGACGGGAUCAUUCCCAUAGCCCAGAAGGACAGCUACAAGACAACACCAGUUCAUGGAUUCACAAAUUGAGAGCAACGCUGGUACCCAUACAGCACCCCUAUCUACAAAAGAAGCAACUUCAGCAGAGCAAGCAUGGCACCCAGCUACACGCAGGAGGAGUUUGACAGAGAGUUUACAUCGCGUCUGGCUUUCCAUGGACCAACCCCCCCGGAAAGAUCACUGCAGCUCGUGAGGAGACACGUGGAAGAGUACCUGCAGGUCAAAGCAGAGCGGGCACGUGAGUUGGCACGUUGGGAGAGACCCC